CCUACGGGGGGCAGCAGUGAGGAAUAUUGGUCAAUGGCCGGAAGGCUGAACCAGCCAUGCCGCGUGAAGGUCAGUGCCCUAUGGGCGUUAAACUUCUUUUGUGCGGGAGCAAUAAUGGUCACGUGUGGCCAGACGAGAGUACCGUACGAAUAAGCAUCGGCUAACUCCGUGCCAGCAGCCGCGGUAAUACGGGGGAUGCAAGCGUUAUCCGGAGUUAUUGGGUUUAAAGGGUGCGUAGGCUGUGAGGUAAGUCAGCGGUGAAAUGCCCACGCACAACGGGGUGAAGUGCCAUUGAUACUGCCUGGCUGGAAGGCGGAUGCCGUGGGAGGAAUGUGUGGUGUAGCGGUGAAAUGCAUAGAUAUCACACAGAACACCGAUUGCGAAGGCAUCUCACGAAUCCGCGAUUGACGCUGAUGCACGAAAGCGUGGGUAUCAAACAGGAUUAGAUACCCGAGUAGUC
rnacentral:rRNA from 1 species